UCCUGGCUUAGGACGAACGCUGGCGGCGUGCCUAACACACGCAAGUCGAGCGGGAAAUCGUAAAUGGAGGCUUCGGCCAAAGUUACGGUGGAGAGCGGCGGACGGGUGAGUAACGCGUGAGUAACCUGCCUUACGGAGGGGGAUAACACAAAGAAAUUUGUGCUAAUACCGCAUAACAUAACGAAAUCGCAUGGUUUUGUUAUCAAAAAUUUAUUGCCGUAAGAUGGACUCGCGUCUGAUUAGCUAGUAGGUAGGGUAAUGGCCUACCUAGGCGACGAUCAGUAGCCGAACUGAGAGGUUGAUCGGCCACAUUGGGACUGAGACACGGCCCAGACUCCUACGGGAGGCAGCAGUGGGGAAUAUUGCGCAAUGGGGGGAAACCCUGACGCAGCAACGCCGCGUGAAGGAUGAAGGUCUUCGGAUCGUAAACUUUUGUCUUAGGGGACGAUAAUGACGGUACCCUAGGAGGAAGCCACGGCUAACUACGUGCCAGCCGCUGC
rnacentral:rRNA from 1 species